CCGCCGCCGCCGCCGCCCGCGCAGCCCCCGGGGACAGUGUCCUUACAGUUGAUCCAUCAUGUGGCAUGCAGUGGCGGGGUCUCAUCGUCCUCACUGUUCAUCUCAGCCCAAGCACUUAAAGCUGAUCACAGUCUACAUGCUGGUGCUCUUGGUAUCACUCAGCUUUACGUCAGGCCAGCGCAGGUCCUUUAACCAUCAGAUAGACAACAGAAGUCCUGAGAUUGAUCCGUUCUGGUAUGUGGAACGUGGGGUCCGACCUAUCGGCCGGUUUGGGAAAAGGCAGCUAAGGAGCAGCCAUAGGAGCCUGAGGCCUGGCCUCAGCAGCCUGGAGCUGAUAGUGAAAGCUUUGCAGGAGCAAGAGGCACUGGAUGCAGAAGAUGAUGGCUGGUGGUGAUUCCCUUCUCUUAGCUGUAACUAAACUCACUUCCUACUCUCAGUUGAAUUUAAUUUUCUC